AUUGAACGCUGGCGGCAUGCCUUACACAUGCGAGUCGAACGGUAACAGGUCUUCGGAUGCUGACGAGUGGCGAACGGGUGAGUAAUACAUCGGAACGUGCCCGAUCGUGGGGGAUAACGGAGCGAAAGCUUUGCUAAUACCGCAUACGAUCUACGGAUGAAAGCAGGGGACCGCAAGGCCUUGCGCGGACGGAGCGGCCGAUGGCAGAUUAGGUAGUUGGUGGGAUAAAAGCUUACCAAGCCGACGAUCUGUAGCUGGUCUGAGAGGACGACCAGCCACACUGGGACUGAGACACGGCCCAGACUCCUACGGGAGGCAGCAGUGGGGAAUUUUGGACAAUGGGCGAAAGCCUGAUCCAGCCAUGCCGCGUGCAGGAUGAAGGCCUUCGGGUUGUAAACUGCUUUUGUACGGAACGAAAAGACUCUUUCUAAUAAAGAGGGUCCAUGACGGUACCGUAAGAAUAAGCACCGGCUAACUACGUG
rnacentral:rRNA from 1 species